GCCAGACUCCUACGGGAGGCAGCAGUGGGGAAUAUUGCACAAUGGGGGAAACCCUGAUGCAGCGACGCCGCGUGAGCGAUGAAGUAUUUCGGUAUGUAAGGCUCUAUCAGCAGGGAAGAAAAUGACGGUACCUGACUAGGAAGCCCCGGCUAACUACGUGCCAGCAGCCGCGGUAAUACGUAGGGGGCAAGCGUUAUCCGGAUUUACUGGGUGUAAAGGGAGCGUAGACGGCCAUGCAAGCCAGGGGUGAAAGGCCGGGGCCCAACCCCGGGACUGCCCUUGGAACUGCAUGGCUGGAGUGCGGGAGGGGCAGGCGGAAUUCCUGGUGUAGCGGUGAAAUGCGUAGAUAUCAGGAGGGACACCGGCGGCGAAGGCGGCCUGCUGGACCGCGACUGACGUUGAGGCUCGAAAGCGUGGGGAGCGAACAGGAUUAGAUACCCUCGUAAUC
rnacentral:rRNA from 1 species